GCCGGGCGUGGUGACACAUGCCUGUAGUCCCAGCUACUUGGGAGGCUGAGGCUGGAGGAUCGCUUGAGCCCAGGAGCUCUGGGCUUCAGUGCGCUAUGCCCACCGGGUGUCCACACUAAGGGUGGCAUCAAUAUGGUGACCUCCUGGGAGUAGGGGACCACCAGGUUGCCUAAGGAGGGGUGAACUGGCCCAGGUCGGAAACGGAGCAGGUCAAAACUCCUGUGCUGAUCAGUAGACAUUAUUAUCAUUAUAGGCAUGUUCUCCUUGAAAGUUUCUCUGGUCUUGAGACAGCCUGCCCUCCU
rnacentral:SRP_RNA from 1 species